rnacentral:rRNA from 1 species
GUGGUUAAGACAUGCAAGUCGAACGGUUUUUCAAAUGUAGCAAUACACUUGAAAAGCAGUGGCGAACGGGUGCGUAACACGUGAACAAUUUACCUUUUAGUGUGGAAUAGCUCGACGAAAGUCGGAUUAAUACCGCAUGUGGUUGUCUCUCGCCUGAGAGGCAUACUAAAGCCGGGGACCGCAAGGCCUGGCGCUAUUAGAGAAGUUCGCGGCCUAUCAGCUAGUUGGUGAGGUAACGGCUCACCAAGGCUAAGACGGGUAGCUGAUCUGAGAGGAUGAUCAGCCACACUGGAACUGAAACACGGUCCAGACACCUACGGGUGGCAGCAGUAGGGAAUAUUGCACAAUGGGCGAAAGCCUGAUGCAGCAACGCCGCGUGCACGAUGAAGGCCUUCGGGUUGUAAAGUGCUUUUAUGAGGGAAGAGAAAGGA